GAUUCGUUAGCUCAGUUGGUAGAGCACCUCCCUUUUAAGGAGGUGGUCCUGGGUUCGAGCCCCAGACGAAUCA
rnacentral:tRNA from 1 species